UCAAGUCUGAGUUGAGGAAAGGAGACGUGGAGUUAGCGUCGCCCAGAGAGAAACGCGAAUGGCGAGGCGAAGCAGAACGCAUGGUGGGAAGGCUUUCCUUGCCACUGCAACCGCUGGAAUCAUGAACCAAGGUGGAGGAGAAGGCCGUCUUCCCCGUUGCUGCUAUAAUCGUCUGUGCUGCUGCCGGUGCUUCAUUGUUCUGUUAUUCCUUUCUAAUUCUUAAUUAUUACUCUACCCAAUAUGAAUUCAUUGUUUUGCUCACUAUCGUGGCCAACUCGCGUUGCUGCUGCCCUGUCAAAGCUGUUGUGAGUGUUGCUAACAUUGGCGGAUAAGGGAUGAAGGAGCUGCUGCAUUUUGGGUGUAGCCCAACCAGUCAUCACGCCACAAUUCCGUCUUCAGUUUCGGUUUCUAUGAAAUUCGACAUUGAGGUAGGGGGUUUAAAACGAUUUCAAUUUAAGAAUGCCUACAACGUUUAUUGAAUAACUGCAAAUAGAUUUAAUAGCUGUGAGUAACUGAUUGAUUAUGUGAGUAUUGAAUUAUGACUGAAAUUGUGAUUGGAAUGGUUGAAAUUGUGAUUUGGAAUAGUUGAUUGGUGAUAUUGAUUGAUUAUGUGGAUUGGGAAUUGUUUGAUGACUUAUUGUUGAGAAUUACUGAAUUUUAAUGGGUUAUGCUGGAUUUGUUGCCGUUGAGUUGUUAUUUGGUAUAUUGUAAUGUUAAUGAACUUGGUUGGUGGUUGAUUUGGGAUUGGUUUUGACGGGUUUUGAAGGGUUGGAUUUUGAAUACUAAAUAGAUUGCUGAAAAUCUGAUUUUUGAAAUUAAAAGGUGACUUUGGAAGUGAAUCAGUUAUUCAACGAUAAUCGAAAUGAUAUAAGAGCAAAGGCUGAGUAAAGUAUAAUAAAAGUUGUUGUUGGGACUCAAUUUUGAGAAGUUUGAAUUAAUUAUAGAACUAGUUAUGAUUUUU